CCUGCCCUCACCCAGGAAAGGUAUUUGGCAACAGGCAAAAUGCAACUCUGCAGCAGUGAAGAGCUGGGACCAUCACAGCAGACAAGCACACUCAAAGACCAGGAAUGUUGUGGAGAGGAGAAUUGACCAGCUGAAACAAAGAUUUCCAGUUCUCCACGCUGAAAUAAGGGUCAGUCCACCCCUGAACGUGUGCCAGAUUGUCUAUAUAUGUGCACUGCUGCACAACAUUUGCAAGAGGCGCAAUAUUCCUCUUGAUGAUGAGCAUCUGGAUAAUCAAAAUGCUGCCCCAGAUCAUGAUGUUGGGGCAAUAGCACCAGCAGCUUGGGGACAAGACAAUGGACGAACCUUCAGGGACCACUUUGCUGCAACUCACUUCAGGAACUUUGUUCAUUUAAUAUUCACUGAUGUCAGUAACUUUUUCACACUCAAACUUUUCAGUUAAUCAAUUACCAUGAUCAAAGUUUUUCACCCUUGAAAUGUAUUGUCUUUAUACGCCAUUUGUCUUCAUUGUAUCUUUAUACCUACACCAUCAUGUCAAGCAAA